GGGUGUUGUGGUAAGACACAUCGAUAAUGAGCUUAAUUUACAUAUUUUUGUGGUUUAUUCUAAUAAAUUUUGGAUAUAGAUGUUACUAAAUAUGGUGUUUGUUUGUCUUUUUUUUAUUUUAUUUUAUGUAGAUGUAUCAAAUGUCAAAAGUGUUAGAUUGAAACGUGAAAUUACUAGGAAGAUCUGUAAUGUUUUUUAAACUAGAUCGAUGGUCGAACUGGUCAGGUCGUCGGUUCACCGGUUUGAUGUCCAACCGGUUCGAUUAAAAAAUUAUUAAAAAUUCAAA
rnacentral:lncRNA from 1 species